GCGAUUGCCGAACACUGGCACACAUCCACGAACAUACAAAUUCGGACUUCUAAUCCGCGGGUCGCAGGUUCGAAUCCUGCCGGGCGCG
rnacentral:tRNA from 1 species